CAACUUCUAAGUAUCAUACCAUUUACUUACAAUUCAGUGAGGGGAAUUAUGCAUACCCAUUUAUUGAACAAAUAUUAUUGAGUAUUGAUUACUAUAUGUGCUAGGCCUUUUGUUGGAUGAAGAUACAAUGUUGAUGAAGAUAGACAUGGUCUUUUUCCUCCUGGCUGGUGAGCGGGAUGACAUAAAACUAAUACACAGAUCGGCAAGUAACAGAAAGCAGGUUGUGAUUAGUGCUCUGAGGACAAGAAACAGGGGUGCAUAGGCUUAUAGAAGCUGGGGAGGGGAAAGGACCCUGGAGACAGAGCCUGGAGAGUGAGAUUCUUUCUCAGUAGGGUUGUUAGGAAACAUCUCUGAGAGGUGAGCACAUGAUUAGAUCCAAGCGCGUAAGGGGCUGGCAUGCAAGGGGAGGUCAAGAAAGAAGAAUCAGCUUGGACAGAGGGAAGCAGUUUGGUCCAUUUGAGGUCAUUAAUGUAUGGGUGUGGAGACAACAUGGUUGGAGGCAGUAAUGAUGAUAACAGUAGAGAACACUUGUUUAGUCAUAUUUGUGUGCCAGAUACAUCAAUUUUUAUAGUGCUGGUAAAAAUCCUAUGAAAUUUGUAUUUCUUUUGUUAUUUUUCAGAUGAGGAAACUGAAACCUUGAGGGGCUAAAUAAUUUAUUCAAGAUUUCCUUGCUUGUAUGUGG
rnacentral:lncRNA from 1 species